UGGGGAAUUUUGGACAAUGGGCGAAAGCCUGAUCCAGCAAUGCCGCGUGUGUGAAGAAGGCCUUCGGGUUGUAAAGCACUUUUGUCCGGAAAGAAAUCCUUGGCUCUAAUACAGUCGGGGGAUGACGGUACCGGAAGAAUAAGCACCGGCUAACUACGUGCCAGCAGCCGCGGUAAUACGUAGGGUGCAAGCGUUAAUCGGAAUUACUGGGCGUAAAGCGUGCGCAGGCGGUUUGCUAAGACCGAUGUGAAAUCCCCGGGCUCAACCUGGGAACUGCAUUGGUGACUGGCAGGCUAGAGUAUGGCAGAGGGGGGUAGAAUUCCACGUGUAGCAGUGAAAUGCGUAGAGAUGUGGAGGAAUACCGAUGGCGAAGGCAGCCCCCUGGGGCCAAUACUGACGCUCAUGCACGAAAGCGUGGGGAGCAAACAGGAUUAGAUACCCUGGUAGUCCACGCCCUAAACGAUGUCAACUAGUUGUUGGGGGAUUCAUUUCCUUAGUAACGUAGCUAACGCGUGAAGUUGACCGCCUGGGGAGUACGGUCGCAAGAUUAAAACUCAAAUGAAUUGACGGGGUCAUAGCUGUUUCCU
rnacentral:rRNA from 1 species